UUAUUUAGCCAGUCAAGCAUGCAUUUAUAAGUACCGGUACAGCCUCCAUGUCUAGAAGCAUGGGGCCACAUUGUAGGCGCGGUGCAAUGUGAAGUAAUUACAGAUUAACCUGGACUCAAUAGGUUGCACAUGUUGAUAGAACUACAGAAUUAGGUUUAGAUGGCAAUGCAAACAAACUCCUACAGUCAGAAGACGUUAUUUUGUAUACCGGUGUACAUGUGGCAGGUUAGCACUAUCAUGACAACUCGCCUAAAAGACCAAACAACUAAUGUGGUACAUCAUGGCCUCUAUGAAUGGUUUGUCUCGUUAAGGAUGCUAAUUUGUAUUAUGUAUUAACGUAUUCAAGUGACCUUUUGUUUCAGUAUCAGAAACACGGAAAUUUAGUUUGCAAUGUAACAGGUCAGAUGUGUAAAACAACUUUUCCAAACAAGUGGCUAUUAUGAAAGUCAACUUCUUAUUUUGCUUCGCAUUGUAGUAAUGGCCUAUGUCCAAUCUUAAGUCAAUAAAGUCAUUGGAAAGUGAA